UCAGACACCCGACCUUGCAAGAUCGUUAUUAAAGUCUCACUUUCGCUGUUCUUCGUGCCUCUAAGUCCAUUCUUCGGGUUUGGAUGGAAUCCCCUUCCUUGUAUGGCUCUGAGUAAGAUUUGGCCAAGAGGAAUUUGCACAAGAUUUUAGAAGGCAGGAACAAUGCAACAGACGUGACUCAAUGAAGAUUUCAGGAUUAGGAUAGUGAUGGACACUCACAAAGGUAUGU
rnacentral:lncRNA from 10 species